UCGCUUUCUCUAGCCUACUAUAUAUUAGGAUCCCUGGGUCUGUCGGGACGCUUUCCCCGGAAGCAGACAAGCAGACAUGAGUUUAUUUUUUAGUUAAACCUUUUGUUUUGUUGAAGAAACAUGCUCAAAACUACUGGACAGACAGGCACAAAAAUCCUCCUGGACGCGAUGUCCAAGGAUAAAGUCCACUUGGCCAGGUUUGUUCUGGACGCGCUGGAUGGGGAAAUCGUUGACUCCACAGCGGACGGCGCACAGACGCCCCUCAUCUCUUCCGUUCUGCUGCCCGACAGCCAGACCCGAUGUAAGUUCAUAGAGCUUCUGCUGCACAGAGGGGCCAGUGUUAACCACCAAGAUGGGAACGGACGCACAGCGCUCAGCUACGCCUGCGAGAAGGGCUACCUGGACGCGGUUAAGAUCCUGGUCCAGAACGGCGCAGAUCCAGAGAUCCUGGACUCGUGGGGAAACACCCCGUUGAUAUACGCGGCUGUAGCGGAUCACACCUUAGUUGUUGAGUUUUUGGUGAGAGCCUUCAAGAGGUUAGGUCUGCGGAUAGACAGGCAGAAUAAAGCUGGCAACUCUGCAGUUGAAGUGGCAAAGUUCCUCGGUCACACAGAGUGCAUUUCUGCGCUUACCAAUAUCUCUAAGAGGAGCCGUGAGGCUGAUGAAGGCAAGUUUGAGGGAAAAGUUGAUUGUUUAGCCAGUAAACUUGAAGUCCUCAAAAUGAGUGGCCGUGCAGAAAUGUCUCACAGUUGUACCUUGCAAUCAGUGCCUCAGAUAAAGCCCAGCCGUUUGCCAGCGAUGGAGUUUGAAAGAGAAAAUAAUAAAUCCUCUUUGGGUCCACAGGAUAUGAUCUUCUUUGGAGCACGCACUCCUGUGCCCCGACCAGGGAUUUACAAUCAACCCAUUUCUAAACAAUGCACCUUCCAGGAGAAGAUGCCCUCCUCUACUCAUCACUUGCCCCCUCUCUUAAACGGCCGUGAUGCUGAAAAGUCCAUUUUCUUCUCCCCCCAGCCAAACAGAAACAUGCCGCAUCCCUGUGCGCCAUCCACUCUUGGCAUCUUACUGACUCCCAUUCUUCCCAACAAACGUGAGACUGAGAGGGGAAGGGAGAAAUCUUUCCGCGUGGGAAGAUUUAACGAGUGCUACUAUAGGAAAAGAUGCAGUCUGCCAACCAGCAUGAUUAGCCCCACACUUCCAGAGCGCACUCUGGUGCCUGUGCGUAAAUCCAGGACGGUGAGGAGGCGCAACGAGUCGAUGAGUUUCACCGAACCACCUCCGUUUGCCACAACAGCUUCUGCCUCGACUCCAACAACUUUCUCAGCAUUGACUAAUAAACUCUUCCGAAGAUUUACCUCCCCGGAGUUCAAGAAAGUCGUUGGAGAUCUGGAACAGAAUCCGUUGCCGACUUUAGGCCGCAUCCCGCGGUCAGAAACCUUCCCUCAGGAGACGAGGCAUCCGCAGGUGGACAGCACGCCCAGCAUCGACAGCAUCAGUUCCGUUAAGUGCGAGUUUGACUUUCAGUUCAGACAGACAAACUCUUAAGACUGCGCGCCAUGUGCAAAAGGGGGGGAAAGGACUGCUAUGUUACGUAAUAAUGUUUUUGCGUAACUUACGCAUCCAUAUUUAAGUGGCGGAAAAGUUUGUUUAAAAAAAUACUUUAGUAAAAAUUGGUAACUUCUUCGUGUUCUUAGUGUGUUCAAUAAAUGUAUAAUAGUGAUAGAUACUAUUAGUUAUUGAACAUCCAUCAGUCUCUAUGGAGUUUUUUCUUUUAAUUCUGCCAUAAUUGUGGUUUCAUUCAGUCUGACGUCUUUUCAUUUGAAUAACUGUAAUGCAUAACAGCGGAAAUUUGAGCGGCUGGUUGCUUGAUGAAGAUAGGAAUACAUUUAUGAUUUACAUUUAUUCAUCAAAACGUGCCGACCUCUAUUUUUUUUUUUUUUUACUGAACUCAAAAAAGUGUAAAGUCGGCAUUUGUCAGGAUCUGAUCAGUGGAUUGUCAGUCAGAGCAAAUUUAUGGAAAAUAGGUCGGUUCCGGUCUCCGAGAUGGAUUAGUGUAACUGUAGUAAAGAGCUAAAAUAAAGAUCUGAUUUGUGUUAGCAGUCAGUAAUGAUACAAUAUGGUGUGAUUUAAAAAAAAAAAAAAACUAGUCGUUUGCAUUCAUUGAAACAUCAUUUUAAGGCUUUAGUGUUUUUUUUUUUUAUGCAAGUCUAACCAUCUGGUGUCAGCCCUCACUAACACACCGAGCUUCAACCUUGAGGGAGUGGAGGUUUUCAGUGGAGGGGAGGGAGAGAGGGGGAGUUGUCGGCGUUUCCCUCUAGACAUGCAUCAUUUCAGCUGAACCUCCAGCUGCUAUCGCAGAGAUGGAGCCUACAGCACUGCAGGAGUAGCUGCCACCGCUGCCUCGCAGGAGACAAGUUUCUGACUUUCAACGAAGGAGGAUCAUUAUUUGUGGCUGAUGAUAUGUAGAGGCGGUUCGGACUUGCAGUUGUCACCGGGUUGACACCUGUCCACCUUGAAGGAGUGGGGGAGGUCGGUUCGGACAGAUGGAACUCGUCGGUGCGGGAUCUCGCAGCCAAUCUCGGGGCAUCUUUUGGUGCAUUCACGUUCAUCUGAGCGUCACUUCUUGGCGCUAAGAAGAGACAGCCCUCUUCCCUCGCUUUCUCUCCUCCCCCCCCCCCCCCCCCCCUCUCUCUCUCUUUCUUUCUCUCAGUCUCCCCUCCCUGUCCGCGUUUCUCUUUUCUUUUCGCGGGUUCAGCCCAGACUGCCCAGUCAGUCAGCCCCCCUUUUUUUUCCUCUCUCCCAGCGCCGGGGAAGCUGGUAGCAAUGGGGCGGCUCAGUUUCAGCACCAAGGAGAGCGCUGGACUUUUGCUGCUUUGUGUGUGUGGUAAGAGCGUGAGCGUGUUCGAGUGUCUGUCGGAAUGUCGUGACUACUCUCUGCGGAGCGGACACGUGCACGCGCAUGCAACAACUGCAAGUGUGCGUGCCUCAUAAGGUGCAUGUGUUCUUUCAUCUUCAUGAGUUGGCAAAUUUUUUUUUUUUUUGUCCUUCUUACUAUUGUAAAGUGCUGCAAACUGAUGUUUGAGGGCCGCUUGUGCGCAUGAGUGUGUGCCAACCAUUUGUGGCCCGGCGGACACCGGGCUCUUUUCUCCACCGGGUGUGCUU